AGCGAACGCUGGCGGCAGGCUUAACACAUGCAAGUCGAACGCCCCGCAAGGGGAGUGGCAGACGGGUGAGUAACACGUGGGAACGUACCCUUUGGUUCGGAAUAACUUGGGGAAACUCAAGCUAAUACCGGAUAAGCCCUUAUGGGGAAAGGUUUACUGCCGAAGGAUCGGCCCGCGUCUGAUUAGCUAGUUGGUGAGGUAAUGGCUCACCAAGGCGACGAUCAGUAGCUGGGCUGAGAGGAUGAUCAGCCACACUGGGACUGAGACACGGCCCAGGCUCCUACGGGAGGCAGCAGUGGGGAAUAUUGGACAAUGGGGGCAACCCUGAUCCAGCCAUGCCGCGUGAGUGAUGGAGGCCUUAGGGUUGUAAAGCUCUUUUACCCGGGACGAUAAUGACUGUACCGGGAGAAUAAGCCCCGGCUAACUUCGUGCCAGCCGCCGCAGUAA
rnacentral:rRNA from 1 species